UAGGGAAUAUUAGAAAUGGACGAAAGUCUGAUCUAGCAACACCGCGUGUGCGAUGAAGGCCUUCGGGUUGUAAAGCACUUUUUGGAAGGAUUAGGAAGGAAUGUACUUCCAGAAUAAGUCUCGGCUAACUACGUGCCAGCAGCCGCGGUAACACGUAGGAGGCGAACGUUAUCCGGAUUUACUGGGCGUAAGGCGCGUGUAGGUGGUUCUGUAAGUAGGGCGUGAAAGCUCCUGGCUCAACUGGGAGAGGCCGUUCUAAACUGCAGAGCUAGAGGAUGGUAGAGGGAGGUGGAAUUCCGGGUGUAGCGGUGGAAUGCGCAGAUAUCCGGAGGAACACCAGUGGCGAAGGCGGCCUCCUGGACCAUGCCUGACACUCAGACGCGAAAGCUAGGGUAGCAAACG
rnacentral:rRNA from 1 species